rnacentral:tRNA from 2 species
GCGCCCGUAGCUCAACGGUAGAGCAGCGGACUUUUAAUCCGUUGGUUGCAGGUUCGAAUCCUGCCGGGCGCACCA